GAGCUUUUGUGAUCGCUUUUCGUCCGGCGUCCGUCCGUACACUUUUACUUUACAUAAACUACUAAGCAAAUUUCAUCCAAACUUCAAUGGAAUAUUCAUUUGGUGGUCACCUUUGAAAAUUGUUUCCAUGCAGAACUCUGGUUGCCAUGGCAACCAAAGGAAAUUUUUUUAAAUAUUUUCUUUACAAAUUGUAAAAAAUAGUUCUGCACGUGAAAGGGAAAUAAUAUCACUCUAAAAAUUGAUAUGGAUCUAUUAAAAUCUGGUUUUACUUGCAUGCAGAGUUACAUAUCAACAGCAUUUUCAUGUACAGCAAAUAUUUUUAAAGUAUUAACACAAAAAUUGUUUUCAUAUCACUAGGUACAGCAGCAGGCUCUGCAUAUUUAAAAUGGAGAGAAUCGAAGGCCCGAAACAACAAAGUGUAGCCAGUAUUCUAGAAAACUUAGCUGGUUCAGCUUCUUCAGCACUGCCAAUCCUGCUGAAAGCAAUUCAUCAUAUAAGUCCUGAGGAGGUACACAACUGCACCGAGAAACUCAUGGACAAGGUGCCUUGUGAUCUGAGAGUUCUGGAAAGUCUAAAACAGUGCCUCUAACAGCUGCUAGAAAGGUUGUAAGUCAAACAGAGAUGAAGGAGGAGUAGAUAAAAUUGUAAGGCCGUUUUUACUUGACACAGUUGGGUUAAGUGAAGGAAUGCUGACCCGCUAAAAGGCAGAAGGCAGUGGAGAUCCCUCUCAAGUUGUAAGAAUGAAGGAUCAGCUACUUAGAGCAGUGGUUAUCAACGUGUGUGAUGUGAGAAGACAUCAGGCAAAGAUUUAUUGCUCUACACUCUGGAGAACACAUGCUUAACAAUGAGGAAGAAACAGAAAGGGAGCCUGUAACAUGUGAACAGGAAGAAAAAGGAGAGGAUAUGUUACAAAUAGACGCAGAAGUGGCGUUUAGGAUGAAACGACCGAGAAAAGUAAGAAGUAGGCUGAGGACGAGUCCUACGAAGCAGAAAAAAAGUAAA